CGUGUCUUUAAUUUAAAAAAAAUGUAAGAUCAUGUAUCGCCAUUUUCUUCUCCUCUUACAAUUUUCUUCACUUUUUCAUUAACUGUCAUAGUUAAUCUCCAUUUGUUUUGACGCCGAAGCUCUCCGUUCUACGUCCAAAUUCUGAAUUUGAUAACCAAACUAGACCGACAAACGUUUCUCGUAUUUUCUUCUAAUUGGAAGAUUCACUGCCACGUGGAAAGAUCGGAGCCGACAUAGUUCCUUUUGGUGGAAUUGAAACGAAGCAGCUUAGUAUUAGCCACACUAGGCGUUGAAGGAGAGGGAGUCUCGCUGAUAAUUCGAAGUGAUUUUUCAAAAAAGUGCAUGAAAAGGAGUAACAGGAAUGGAAGGUUUCUUAGAAUUAGUGUUAGGGUUAGAUUUGAGGGGUUUCUCCUUUAGAAAGAGUAGAAACAUGAGAGGUUUUAGAAAAGAAUGAGGUGAUUUGAGUUGUGGAUUCAUCAGCGGUGAUCUGCCCUUGGUCGAUUUUUGCGCUUGACGAAGAAGAAAACGAAAAAGAGGUGAAACAACAGAAUUAAUCGGGUUCAAAGAGUUUCCGAUCUUCAGUAUAAAUGUUUUAUUAUGUCUUUAGUUUUAUUCACACUUGGCCUGUCAAUUUCUGUCUCGACAAGGGAGCAUAUCUAAAGAAUUAUAUGGUAAGAGAGAUCUGGCCGGAACUAGCGAAAGCAAAAUGCAUAGAGUGGGACCAAAUAUUUACGAAGCGUUCAUGGAAACGCCAAAGCUUUUGUUGUGGCAAUGAGUCCAGUGAGCUUGGUUUUAUUAUGAUGGCAUUAAGCUUUUACAUUUUAAUGCUUAGGCAACGGCCAUUUGCUUGCUUAUUUUGAUAUUUACUGCAGUUACCACUUAUAUGAUUCAUUCAUGCUUUGCUCGGAGAAGCAUGUGAUAAUGCUCUUAAGAAAAAAUGUUUCCUAUAUAAUGGCCUAACAGAAGGAUUCUGGGAAAUGCUGCCCAUUAUAAUUUUUUUUUUUAUAAUAUAAGCGUUAAAUUAUGAUACACUAUAGAUACAUGUUUGAUGUACAAUUUAUACAUUGUAAUUUUUAUAUUAAAAUAGAUGGAUUAUUAAAAUUAUAUUUAAUAUGUAUUAUUUAUGUAUUGUAGAUUUAUUAUUAAAAUUAUAUUUAAUAUAUAUUAUUUGUGUA